UGCCAAGUUGCGUAAAAAUAUGAACUAUACACAUUUAUGCUAAUUAACCAUUUUGAGGUUAUUGGAGUUGUCAUAUAGCCAUAACGACAGUUCAUUUGGAAAAAUUACACAAUCUUAUAUUAAGGUGUAGAAUCGAUUUUUUAAUACAUAUACAUUGAGCAAUCGAUACCAAGUUGCGUAAAAAUAUGAACUAUACAUAUUUAUGCUAAUUAGCUGUUUUGAGGUUUUUGGAGAUGUCAUAUAGCCGUAACGACAGUGUAUUUGGAAAAAUUUCACAAUCUUAUAUUAAGGCGUAGAAUCGAUUUCUAUACCAAGCUGCGUAAAAAUACGAACUAUACAUAUUUAUGCUAAUUAACCGUUUUGAGGUUAUUGGAGAUGUCAUAUAGCCAUAACGACAGUAAAUUUGGAAAAAUUUCACAAUCUUAUAUUAAGGCGUAGAAUCGAUUUUUUAGUACAGAUGCACUAAGCAAUCUAUACCAAGUUGCGUAAAAAUAUGAACUAUACAUAUUUAUGCUAAUUAACCGUUUUGAGGUUAUUGGAGUUGUCAUAUAGCCAUAACGACAGUGUAUUUGGAAAAACUCCACAAUCUUAUAUUAAGGUGUAGAAUCGAUUUUUUAGUACAGAUGCACUAAGCAAUCUAUACCAAGUUGCGUAAAAAUAUGAACUAUACAUAUUUAUGCUAAUUAACCGUUUUGAGGUUAUUGGAGUUGUCAUAUAGCCAUAACGACAGUGUAUUUGGAAAAAUUUCACAAUCUUAUAUUAAGGUGUAGAAUCGAUUUUUUAGUACAUAUACAUUAAGCAAUCGAUACCAAGCUGCGUAAAAAUAUGAACUAUACAUAUUUAUGCUAAUUAACCGUUUUGAGGUUAUUGGAGAUGUCAUAUAGCCAUAACGACAGUGUAUUUGGAAAAAUUUCACAAUCUUAUAUUAAGGUGUAGAAUCG